UACAGAGACUGCAAGCGUUAUUCGGAUUCACUGGGCGUAAAGGGUGCGCAGGCGGCCAAGUGUGUGAGGCGUGAAAGCCCGGGGCUUAACCCCGGAAUUGCACCUCAAACUACAUGGCUAGAGCAUUGGAGAGGGUAGCAGAAUUCAUGGGGUAGCAGAGAAAUGCGUAGAUAUCAUGAGGAAUACCAGAGGCGAAGGCGGCUACCUGGACAAUUGCUGACGCUCAGGCACGAAAGCGUGGGGAGCAAAAGGG
rnacentral:rRNA from 1 species